rnacentral:rRNA from 1 species
CCUACGGGCGUGCUGCAGUGGGGAAUAUUGGGCAAUGGAGGCAACUCUGACCCAGCAACGCCGCGUGAGCGAUGAAGGUCUUCGGAUUGUAAAGCUCUUUAAGCGGGGACGGAGAAAGUGACUGUACCCGCAGAAUAAGCCUCGGAUAACUACGUGCUAGCAGCCGCGGUAAUACGUAGGAGGCAAGCGUUAUCCGGUAUGACUGGGCGUAAAGGGUGCGUAGGUGGUUUGGCAAUUUGGUAGCGUAAUCCCGGGGUUCACCCUCGGUGCUACUACCAAAACUGUUGAACUUGAGUGCAGUAGGGGUGAAUUGAAUUCCCAUUGUAGCGGUGGAAUGCGUAGAUAUUGGGAAGAACACCAGCGGCGAAGGCGAUUCACUGGACUGUAACUGACACUGAGGCACGAAAGCGUGGGGAGCAAACAGGAUUAGAUACCCCAGUAGUC